rnacentral:lncRNA from 1 species
GUACUCACUUCGUGGAAGACUUGGGCCACCACUCGAACUCAUCUCGUUCAUAACAGAAGCUAAACUCUUCUUCAAUCUUGAUAAAGCUUUGGGCAAAAGGAGCUGCUUCUAGACAGCUUUAGAAAGCAGAAAUUGAUGUUGGAUUUUGCUUAUGUGAAAGAUAAAGGGAAGAUUUUUGCUUUCUUUUGUCCAUCAAGUAUUGCAAAGCACUGGACAAGAGAUUGUAACAGUCAAUACUUCCC